rnacentral:rRNA from 1 species
UACAGAGGUCUCGAGCGUUAGGCGGAAUCACUGGGCUUAAAGCGUGUGUAGGUGGCUCGUUAAGUACCUUGUGAAAUCCCACGGCUUAACCGUGGAACUGCUUGGUAUACUGGCGGUCUUGAGCCCGCUAGGGGCUACCGGAACAAACGGUGGAGCGGUGAAAUGCGUAGAUAUCGUGUGGAACGCCAAUGGUGAAAACAAGUAGCUGGGGAUGUGCCGACGCUGAGACACGAAAGCCAGGGGAGCGAACGGG